rnacentral:rRNA from 1 species
AUUGAACGCUGGCGGCAUGCUUUACACAUGCAAGUCGAACGGUAACAGGUCUUCGGAUGCUGACGAGUGGCGAACGGGUGAGUAAUGCAUCGGAACGUGCCCAGUCGUGGGGGAUAACGCAGCGAAAGCUGUGCUAAUACCGCAUACGAUCUAUGGAUGAAAGCGGGGGAUCGCAAGACCUCGCGCGAUUGGAGCGGCCGAUGUCAGAUUAGCUAGUUGGUGGGGUGAAGGCCCACCAAGGCGACGAUCUGUAGCUGGUCUGAGAGGACGACCAGCCACACUGGGACUGAGACACGGCCCAGACUCCUACGGGAGGCAGCAGUGGGGAAUUUUGGACAAUGGGCGCAAGCCUGAUCCAGCAAUGCCGCGUGCAGGAAGAAGGCCUCGGGUUGUAAAAUUCUUUCACUCAUGAAGAUAAUGACGGUAAUGAGAGAAGAAGA